CCUUCACCACCACCCUGUGACGCUUGUGGAUAGAUGGGGACUUACGCAUUUUUCACUGGCGUGUUAGCACUUAUAUUAAAAUAAUGCUUUAUUAUAAAACAUUCGAAAUAACAUCACAAGAAGACAAAGUAUCCAAAAUGAAAUUGCUGGAC